GAUGAAGAACGCAGCGAAAUGCGAUAAUUGAUGUGAAUUGCAGAAUUCAGUGAAUCAUCGAAUCUUUGAACGCACAUUGCGCCCGCUAGUAUUCUGGCGGGCAUGCCUGUCCGAGCGUCAUUUCAACCCUCAAGCCCCCGGGCUUGGUGUUGGGGAUCGGCGAGCCUCCGCGCCCGCCGUCCCCUAAAUCUAGUGGCGGUCUCGCUGUAGCUUCCUCUGCGUAGUAGCACACCUCGCACUGGGAAACAGCGCGGCCACGCCGUUAAACCCCCAACUUCUGAACGUUUGACCUCGGAUCAGGUAGGAAUACCCGCUGAACUUAAGCAUAUCAAUAAGCGGAGGA
rnacentral:misc_RNA from 1 species